rnacentral:rRNA from 1 species
AGAGUUUGAUCAUGGCUCAGAUGAACGCUGGCGGCGUGCUUAACACAUGCAAGUCGAACGGGAUCCAUCAAGCUUGCUUGAUGGUGAGAGUGGCGAACGGGUGAGUAAUGCGUGACUAACCUGCCUCAUACACCGGAAUAGCUCCUGGAAACGGGUGGUAAUGCCGGAUGCUCCAACAUUUCACAUGUUUUGUUGGGAAAGCGUUAGCGGUAUGAGAUGGGGUCGCGUCCUAUCAGCUUGUUGGUGAGGUAAUGGCUCACCAAGGCUUCGACGGGUAGCCGGCCUGAGAGGGCGACCGGCCACAUUGGGACUGAGAUACGGCCCAGACUCCUACGGGAGGCAGCAGUGGGGAAUAUUGCACAAUGGGCGAAAGCCUGAUGCAGCGACGCCGCGUGCGGGAUGAAGGCCUUCGGGUUGUAAACCGCUUUUAAUUGGGAGCAAGCGAGAGUGAGUGUACCUUUUGAAUAAGCACCGGCUAACUACGUGCCAGCAGCCGCGGUAAUACGUAGGGUGCAAGCGUUAUCCGGAAUUAUUGGGCGUAAAGAGCUCGUAGGCGGUUUGUCACGCCUGGUGUGAAAGUCCAUCGCUUAACGGUGGAUCUGCGCCGGGUACGGGCAGGCUAGGGUGCAGUAGGGGAGAUUGGAAUUCCCGGUGUAACGGUGGAAUGUGUAGAUAUCGGGAAGAACACCAAUGGCGAAGGCAGAUCUCUGGGCUGUUACUGACGCUGAGGAGCGAAAGCAUGGGGAGCGAACAGGAUUAGAUACCCUGGUAGUCC